UACGUAGGGCGCAAGCGUUAUCCGGAAUUAUUGGGCGUAAAGAGCUCGUAGGCGGUUUGUCGCGUCUGCUGUGAAAGACCGGGGCUCAACUCCGGUUCUGCAGUGGGUACGGGCAGACUAGAGUGCAGUAGGGGAGACUGGAAUUCCUGGUGUAGCGGUGAAAUGCGCAGAUAUCAGGAAGAACACCCGUGGCUAAGGCGGCUCUCUAGUACGGUACUGACGCUGAGACGCGAAAGCGUGGGGAGCGAACAGG
rnacentral:rRNA from 1 species